rnacentral:rRNA from 1 species
CCCAGACUCCUACGGGAGGCAGCAGUGGGGAAUAUUGCACAAUGGGGGAAACCCUGAUGCAGCGACGCCGCGUGAAGGAUGAAGUAUUUCGGUAUGUAAACUUCUAUCAGCAGGGAAGAAAAUGACGGUACCUGACCAAGAAGCCCCGGCUAACUACGUGCCAGCAGCCGCGGUAAUACGUAGGGGGCAAGCGUUAUCCGGAUUUACUGGGUGUAAAGGGAGCGUAGACGGCAGGGCAAGUCUGGAGUGAAAGGCAGGGGCCCAACCCCUGGACUGCUCUGGAAACUGUCCGGCUGGAGUGCAGGAGAGGUAAGUGGAAUUCCUAGUGUAGCGGUGAAAUGCGUAGAUAUUAGGAGGAACACCAGUGGCGAAGGCGGCUUACUGGACUGUAACUGACGUUGAGGCUCGAAAGCGUGGGGAGCAAACAGGAUUAGAUACCCUUGUAGA